rnacentral:rRNA from 1 species
CAGCCGCCACGGUAAUACGAAGGGUGCGAGCGUUAAUCGGAAUUACUGGGCGUAAAGCGUGCGUAGGCGGUUUGUUAAGUCUGUUGUGAAAUCCCCGGGCUCAACCUGGGAAUGGCAAUGGAUACUGGCAAGCUAGAGUGUGUCAGAGGAUGGUGGAAUUCCCGGUGUAGCGGUGAAAUGCGUAGAGAUCGGGAGGAACAUCAGUGGCGAAGGCGGCCAUCUGGGACAACACUGACGCUGAGGCACGAAAGCGUGGGGAGCAAACAGGAUUAGAUACCCCGGUAGUCCCUGUCUCUUAUAC